CAUAACCCCAAACCGGAACUCCUGUUUGCAGGGUUACAUGCAGUCAGUUUGAUACUUAGCACACAUUGUUAAGUGCAUGCUGCCUAGGAUUUGUAAAAUACAUUACAAAUGGUUGGUUUUGGUAUCAACUUGAAGGUAUAUUUGUAAGCAAAAAGAAAAUAAGCCAUUUUUGUGCUCUACUUUUUGUGUUGAUGGUUCCCGGCUUUGAAAGUAGGUCAUACUAUUUGAGCCCAAAAUGGUUGUCUGCACAGCUGUCAAAACCGGUUUGCCUAUUCUAAGGUAAAUAUUUUGAGUUUGCGCGUAUAGAAUUUAAUGACAUGCAUUUUUUUCAAAAGAUUAUGCAUUAAUCUUUCCAAUGAUGUAUGAUGAUAUAGUGGGUAUGCGCUUGAUCAUGGUAAAAAUUGAUAUCGGACUUCAACUAUUUUAUAUGUAAUAUAGAAGGAAAUUAAUUGCGCAUGCGUAACCUUUAAGCACAUCCGACCAAGUUAGUCGUCUGCCAGAAUUUUGACAUUUGACCAUCAAAACCUCUCUGUAUUGCAAAACAUAACUGCCAGAUGUCAUUUUGACCCAAAUUAGGGCUGUUUGCAAUUGGGCUGUUGCACUUGGGGUCAUAAGGGGGGUAAAUGCUGGAAAAUCACACCGAAACCUGUUCCGGAGACAUAUUCUAAGACUACUUAAACACCCGGCUGUGUCAAAAUGGGUCUAUAGCUCUGCCUGAACUGUCGUCCAAUUGGUUUACAAGUCCGCCUGAAGUGACAGGCCAUCAAAAACUGUACAGCAUGACUGAUUCGGAGACAGCCAUCGACACUCGCCCAGUCGUGUCGAGAGGAUCGGUGUCUUUGCAGAUUACACGGAAUUGAGCACCCGGGCCAUACUGACACUUUCCGGAGCCUGCAUGAGACGGAACUCGAGCGGAGGAAUCAUAGGUCCAGGUGUGACAAAAGACUUAAAGCUCAUGUCUGACGAUGACUUUUUUUAGUCAGGAAGUCAAGUGUGUUGUUUUUCCAUGCAAGCGAGCCCUUUUGUUGGGUCAAAUGACAUCAGAAUUGCUGCUUCUACAUGGAUUUUACCUAAAAUGUGCAAAAAAAUUUUUAAAAAGUUUGUUCGAAUCCAGUUCAAAACCUGCUUUGAUGCACAAAUAUUGCAAUUGAUGAUUUUUUUCACUUAUUAAGCCAUAUGUAAGAUCAGCUUUGCCUAUUAGAAUCGAAAGACCUGCCUUAUAUGGAGUCUAAGUGCUGCAUGUAUGAUGUAACCAAGUUUGGCUUUUCUACCUUAAUUCUUGACGCGAAACGCUGUUACGCAUGGCGCUUUCAACGGCAACUUUUAUGAACUAAUCUGUGUGUCAUUGUACCGGAACUUUGCGGUCUUUCUCAAAACAGAUUAUACCUGUGGGAAAAGUGCCUUUAAUUUAAAUUUGAAGGGGUUGGGAUCUCUUAAAGGUCACAUAACCCCAAACCGGAACUCCUGUUUGCAGGGUUACAUGCAGUCAGUUUGAUACUUAGCACACAUUGUUAAGUGCAUGCUGCCUAGGAUUUGUAAAAUACAUUACAAAUGGUUGGUUUUGGUAUCAACUUGAAGGUAUAUUUGUAAGCAAUAAGAAAAUAAGCCAUUUUUGUGCUCUACUUUUUGUGUUGAUGGUUCCCGGCUUUGAAAGUAGGUCAUACUAUUUGAGCCCAAAAUGGUUGUCUGCACAGCUGUCAAAACCGGUUUGCCUAUUCUAAGGUAAAUAUUUUGAGUUUGCGCGUAUAGAAUUUAAUGACAUGCAUUUUUUUCAAAAGAUUAUGCAGUAAUCUUUCCAAUGAUGUAUGAUGAUAUAGUGGGUAUGCGCUUGAU